rnacentral:rRNA from 1 species
UACGGGGGGGGCAAGCGUUGUUCGGAAUUACUGGGCGUAAAGGGCUUGUAGGUGGCCAACUAAGUCAGACGUGAAAUCCCUCGGCUUAACCGGGGAACUGCGUCUGAUACUGGAUGGCUUGAGUGUGGGAGAGGGAUGCGGAAUUCCAGGUGUAGCGGUGAAAUGCGUAGAUAUCUGCAGGAACACCCGUGGCGAAAGCGGCGCGCUGGACCACUACUGACGCUGAGGAACGAAAGCUAGGGGAGCAAACAGG